rnacentral:rRNA from 1 species
ACCGGCGCACGGGUGAGUAACGCGUAUGCAACCUACCCAUAACAGGGGGAUAGCUCCCGGAAACGGAAAUUAAUACCCCAUAGUAUUCCUUGGCCGCAUGGCCCGGGGAUUAAAACUACGGUGGUUAUGGAUGGGCAUGCGUGCCAUUAGCUAGUUGGCGGGGUAACGGCCCACCAAGGCUACGAUGGCUAGGGGGUCUAAAAGGAUGAUCCCCCACACUGGUACUGAGACACGGACCAGACUCCUACGGGAGGCAGCAGUGAGGAAUAUUGGUCAAUGGGCGAGAGCCUGAACCAGCCAUGCCGCGUGCAGGAAGACGGCCCUAUGGGUUGUAAACUGCUUUUUUAUGGGAAGAAAAAGCCCCACGUGUGGGGCACUGACGGUACCAUAUGAAUAAGCAUCGGCUAACUCCGUGCCAGCAGCCGCGGUAAUACGGAGGAUGCGAGCGUUAUCCGGAUUUAUUAGGUUUAAAGGGUGUGUAGGCGGACGAUUAAGUCAGUGGUGAAAUCUCACAGCUCAACUGUGAAACUGCCAUUGAUACUGGUUGUCUUGAGUACAGUUGAAGUAGGCGGAAUGUGUAAUGUAGCGGUGAAAUGCUUAGAUAUUACACAGAACACCGAUUGCGAAGGCAGCUUACUAAGCUGUUACUGACGCUGAUGCACGAAAGCGUGGGGAGCGAACAGGAUUAGAUACCCUGGUAGUCCACGCCGUAAACGAUGAUUACUCGUUGUUGGCGAUAUAUUGUCAGCGACUGAGCGAAAGCAAUAA